rnacentral:rRNA from 1 species
AUUGAACGCUAGCGGCAUGCUUAACACAUGCAAGUCGAACGGUAGCAGACCUAGCUUGCUAGGUGCUGACGAGUGGCGGACGGGUGAGUAACGCGUAGGAAUUUACCUUGUAGUGGGGGAUAACUUGGGGAAACUCAAGCUAAUACCGCAUAAGCCCGCGAGGGGAAAGUGUGGGACCGAAAGGCCACAUGAUAUGAGAUGAGCCUGCGUCAGAUUAGCUAGUUGGUGGGGUAAAGGCCUACCAAGGCGAAGAUCUGUAGCUGGGCUGGGAGGACGACCGGCCCCACUGGGACUGAGACACGCCCCAGACUCCUACGGGAGGCAGCAGUGGGGAAUAUGGGACAAUGGGCGAGAGCCUGAUCCAGCAAUGCCGCGUGUGUGAAGAAGGCCUGCGGGUUGUAAAGCACUUUAAGCGAGGAGGAGGCUACCUGGAUUAAUACUCUAGGAUAGUGGACGUUACUCGCAGAAUAAACACCGGCUAACUCUGUGCCAGCCGCCGCGGUAAAAC